rnacentral:SRP_RNA from 1 species
GCCAAAUGUAGGCACAUGCCUGUAGUCCUAGCCAUGCAGAAGUCUGAAGCUAGAGGAUCACUUGAGCACAGUUCUGAGUUCUGUACUAUGUGUGCCAUGCUGAUUGGAUGUCUGCAAUAAGUUUGGCGUUAAUAUAGUGGCUUUCUGGGAAUGGGGGACCACCAGGUUGCCUAAGGAAAUUCAGGUCAGAAGUGGAGCAGGUCAAAACUACCAUGCCUAUUAGUAGUGGGAUCACAUCUUUGAAUAGCACUGUGCUCCAUCCUUGGCAAGAGAGUGAAACAUGGACUCUU